GACGAACGCUGGCGGCGUGCCUAACACAUGCAAGUCGAGCGGGGUCCAUCCGGUAGCAAUACCGGGGAAGACCUAGCGGCGAACGGGUGGGUAACACGUGAGAAACCUGCCCCGAAGUCUGGGAUAACCCGAGGAAACUCGAGCUAAUACCGGAUGUCUUCUUCUGAUCGCAUGGUCGGAUGAAGAAAGAUUUAUCGCUUCGGGAGGGUCUCGCGGCCUAUCAGCUAGUUGGCGGGGUAACGGCCCACCAAGGCGUCGACGGGUAGCUGGUCUGAGAGGACGAUCAGCCACACUGGGACUGAGACACGGCCCAGACUCCUACGGGAGGCAGCAGUGGGGAAUAUUGCGCAAUGGGCGAAAGCCUGACGCAGCAACGCCGCGUGCGGGAUGAAGGCCU
rnacentral:rRNA from 1 species